rnacentral:lncRNA from 1 species
GGUGAAGAUGAGCACCUGAGUAGGUGAACUUCCCUCGGUGAUUCUGCUCUGCAGGAAACAUUGUGCCUCACAGGUGUAGCAGCUUUCUGGGGUGUGUUUUCAUGGCAUCUUUUGUUGUUGAGCAUCUUCAGAUAUGACCCAAGGUUCAGGGGGCAUUAAAGAUUCCUCUGUAUAUUUGCUCUCAGGAAGGCUAAGUGUACAACCAUGCUCUUGUAGUUCUUUUUAUUGAAACAGGCUCUUCGGUAGACUAGGUUAGCCUGGAACUUGCUAUGCAGCUAAGGAUGACCUUGUAAUCCCAAUCCUCCUGCCUCUACUUCCAGAGUGCUAGGCAGAAUGAUGGCAUUUACCAUCAUGUCAAAAUGUGAUCAAGUGACUGCAGACAUGCUAAGAAAGUAUUCUACAGAGUGAGUUAUGUCCCACCCUGUGCUUGCAUUUCUUAGGAAUCAAGCAUGCCUCCCCUUACUUACUGCUUGUGUUUGCUUUUAAUCCCCACUCAUACUUGAACCCUUCACGUCCUGCUUCCAGAGACUCAGACUUCUUUUUUCUAGAGUGGAGAAGGCACAAAAUAGAAUUUGUGUAUGCAUGCUUAUUGAGCUAGUGGGAAGGGGGGAAAUAUAAAAGACAGGUGCAAAAAUGAAUCCUCCUGCAAACCAGAACUCAUUGUUCAGCAUGAGUUUUGAUACCUGUAAGGGGAAAUAUAUUUCUUGAAUAAGAAAGCACAAAGUAGGCGCUACUCCAUCGGAAGUGGAGUUCUGUUCCCAGUGCCCAUAUCAUGUAACUCACAGACCCUUGUAACUCUAGCUCCAAGAAAUGCAGCAACUCUUUUUGGCUUCUUUGGGCACCUGUACACACAUGUGCAUGUCCACAUAUACAAAUAAAAUGAAUCUUUAAUAAAGAAAUAAACAGAGGAGGGAUUUCCAAGAUGAUUAGAGCUAUUGUUACCUGGAUAUGUAUGAUAGGAAGGCAGAGUAUGUUCUACCUGGUUGCCUCCCCUUUCACAUGUGCAAGCUUGCCUGGCUGCCCCAUUAGGGCGUAUCGCUGAGGCUCUCUCUAGAAACAAGCACUUGGAUUUCCCAGCCUC